CGGAGUUGACGUCAACGGAGUCAGUGUUAGGGGCCCCCAAGCAGAGUCUGGAAAAGGGGGAUGGGAUGUGGGUGUGAAGGGAUGCAGCCCCCCCAAAAGAAAUCGGGGUGAAUCAGAAAUACCUACUAAUGAUGCCCAAAUGCAAAACCUGAGAAGAGAGAGAGGGAUAAACGACAAGCAUAUAUUUGUCUAAAAUCGGGAAAAAAGAAAAACCAUGAAAAAUCGAGGCAGAAACACAUACGUUGAGGUCUAACCACGAACGAUAAAGGUGGAAGAAAGGACUUUUCUGCCUGCAGCACCCAAGCACUAAGCUAAUUUCCUUAAUAAACGAAGAGCUAUUGGAAACCAACAAGGGAAAGACAAAAGCAAACCAAAAAAGGGGGCAAAAGAGACCGCAAGUCACAGGACAAUGCAAAUGGCUGGAAGAAUCUUGACCUGACUGUCUGCAUAGCGAAACGCCAACCUGAGAUACCGGGUGAAGGCGGUUUAUGGCAGCGCGCUGAAUCGCAUGUGGUCAACCAUCAUUACGUGAAUCCACUGCAUAGAAUAGCAAGAAAUUGCGAGGAGAGCGAGCAGGUAGAUUACCAAGCCUGCCUCUGAUAGAAGACGUUCCUAUGACACCAGGAAAAAUAACGGGGGUAUCGCUGCCAUAAAGGACCUGGAUCGGAAUAGAUCCAAUGAAAUAAAACCCGUUGCCGAAGUUUGUAGAAACGAAAUGUUGUUGCUUCCAAGCGUACAGUGCCAUUUUCCUGAGGCUAUAUGACCUGUGAUACCAUAACAGGCUGAAGGCUCAAGCAAAUGAAAAUUCCAGCUGUUCCCUAUCAAGUCUGACACCGAAGACAUUUGCCGAGAUGUAAAACGAUGCUACCAGUUUUGACAUUGGACUCCUGUUUUAGUGAAACUCAAGAGUCCCUAGCCACCUGGAAGAACUAACAGUUCAUCCUUUUGUAAAUUUGUGCCGUGCCAAGAAGUGGUGACUCACACCUUUAAUUCCAGCCUUUGGGAGGCAGAGGCGGACAGAUCUCUGAAUUCAAGGCCAGCUUGGUCUACAGAGUGAGUUCCAGGACCGCCAGAGCUCUACGGGAAAAACCUCAUCUCAAAGGUCCUGGAGGUGGAACUUACAUCGUCAAACUUGGCUGAAGGCUCCUUUAUCCUCUGAGCCAGCUCACUGGCCCCACAAAUACAGGUU